GCGGGAGUAGCUCAGCGGUAGAGCAUCACCUUGCCAAGGUGAGGGUCGCGGGUUCAAUCCCCGUCUCCCGCC
rnacentral:tRNA from 2 species